GAGAGUAUAGCUCAGUGGUAGAGCAUUCGACUGCUUAUCGAGAGGUGCGCGGUUCAAAGCCGGGUGUCCCGUUCUUCA